rfam:Pteropus alecto contig94866, whole genome shotgun sequence.
GGCUCCAUAGUGUAGUGGUUAGCACGUCUGCUUUACACUCAGAAGGCCCUGGGUUUGCACCUCAGGUGGAGCCA